GGGUUGUGAGGUUAAGCGACUAAGCGUACACGGUGGAUGCCCUGGCAGUCAGAGGCGAUGAAGGGCGUGCUAAUCUGCGAUAAGCGCCGGUAAGGUGAUAUGAACCGUUAUAACCGGCGAUACCCGAAUGGGGAAACCCAGUGUGAUUCGUCACACUAUCAUUAACUGAAUCCAUAGGUUAAUGAGGCGAACCGGGGGAACUGAAACAUCUAAGUACCCCGAGGAAAAGAAAUCAACCGAGAUUCCCCCAGUAGCGGCGAGCGAACGGGGAGGAGCCCAGAGCCUGAAUCAGCAUGUGUGUUAGUGGAAGCGUCUGGAAAGGCGCGCGAUACAGGGUGACAGCCCCGUACACAAAAGCGCAUGUGCUGUGAGCUCGAUGAGUAGGGCGGGACACGUGGUAUCCUGUCUGAAUAUGGGGGGACCAUCCUCCAAGGCUAAAUACUCCUGACUGACCGAUAGUGAACCAGUACCGUGAGGGAAAGGCGAAAAGAACCCCGGCGAGGGGAGUGAAAAAGAACCUGAAACCGUGUACGUACAAGCAGUGGGAGCCCCACCACUAAGCCAGUGGUGAACUCCACAUACGCAUCCUUUGCUGAGGAUACGGUUAACGGAGCGAAAGCGACGUUCAACCGCAAAAGAAGCAGAGGGGGCUUAGUGGUGGGGUGACUGCGUACCUUUUGUAUAAUGGGUCAGCGACUUAUAUUCUGUAGCAAGGUUAACCGAAUAGGGGAGCCGGAGGGAAACCGAGUCUUAAUUGGGCGUUAAGUUGCAGGGUAUAGACCCGAAACCCGGUGAUCUAGCCAUGGGCAGGUUGAAGGUUGGGUAACACUAACUGGAGGACCGAACCGACUAAUGUUGAAAAAUUAGCGGAUGACCUGUGGCUGGGGGUGAAAGGCCAAUCAAACCGGGAGAUAGCUGGUUCUCCCCGAAAGCUAUUUAGGUAGCGCCUCGUGAAUUCAUCUCCGGGGGUAGAGCACUGUUUCGGCUAGGGGGCCAUCCCGGCUUACCAACCCGAUGCAAACUGCGAAUACCGGAGAAUGUUAUCACGGGAGACACACGGCGGGUGCUAACGUCCGUCGUGAAGAGGGAAACAACCCAGACCGCCAGCUAAGGUCCCAAAGUCAUGGUUAAGUGGGAAACGAUGUGGGAAGGCCCAGACAGCCAGGAUGUUGGCUUAGAAGCAGCCAUCAUUUAAAGAAAGCGUAAUAGCUCACUGGUCGAGUCGGCCUGCGCGGAAGAUGUAACGGGGCUAAACCAUGCACCGAAGCUGCGGCAGCGAACGUAUCACUUAAAGCGAUUCAGCGGGUUACGAUUGACGGAGCGAAGCGACGUCAAAGCGUAUACAAAGUCGAGUCGGUUUAAGGAUACGUUCGUUGGGUAGGGGAGCGUUCUGUAAGCCUGCGAAGGUGGCCUGUGAGGGUUGCUGGAGGUAUCAGAAGUGCGAAUGCUGACAUAAGUAACGAUAAAGCGGGUGAAAAGCCCGCUCGCCGGAAGACCAAGGGUUCCUGUCCAACGUUAAUCGGGGCAGGGUGAGUCGACCCCUAAGGCGAGGCCGAAAGGCGUAGUCGAUGGGAAACGGGUUAAUAUUCCCGUACUUGGUGUUACUGCGAAGGGGGGACGGAGAAGGCUAUGUUGGCCGGGCGACGGUUGUCCCGGUUUAAGCGUGUAGGCUGGUUUUCCAGGCAAAUCCGGAAAAUCAAGGCUGAGGCGUGAUGACGAGGCACUACGGUGCUGAAGCAACAAAUGCCCUGCUUCCAGGAAAAGCCUCUAAGCAUCAGGUAACAUCAAAUCGUACCCCAAACCGACACAGGUGGUCAGGUAGAGAAUACCAAGGCGCUUGAGAGAACUCGGGUGAAGGAACUAGGCAAAAUGGUGCCGUAACUUCGGGAGAAGGCACGCUGACACGUAGGUGAAGUGAUUUACUCACGGAGCUGAAGUCAGUCGAAGAUACCAGCUGGCUGCAACUGUUUAUUAAAAACACAGCACUGUGCAAACACGAAAGUGGACGUAUACGGUGUGACGCCUGCCCGGUGCCGGAAGGUUAAUUGAUGGGGUCAGCGCAAGCGAAGCUCCUGAUCGAAGCCCCGGUAAACGGCGGCCGUAACUAUAACGGUCCUAAGGUAGCGAAAUUCCUUGUCGGGUAAGUUCCGACCUGCACGAAUGGCGUAAUGAUGGCCAGGCUGUCUCCACCCGAGACUCAGUGAAAUUGAACUCGCUGUGAAGAUGCAGUGUACCCGCGGCAAGACGGAAAGACCCCGUGAACCUUUACUAUAGCUUGACACUGAACAUUGAGCCUUGAUGUGUAGGAUAGGUGGGAGGCUUUGAAGUGUGGACGCCAGUCUGCAUGGAGCCGACCUUGAAAUACCACCCUUUAAUGUUUGAUGUUCUAACGUGGACCCGUAAUCCGGGUUGCGGACAGUGUCUGGUGGGUAGUUUGACUGGGGCGGUCUCCUCCUAAAGAGUAACGGAGGAGCACGAAGGUUGGCUAAUCCUGGUCGGACAUCAGGAGGUUAGUGCAAUGGCAUAAGCCAGCUUGACUGCGAGCGUGACGGCGCGAGCAGGUGCGAAAGCAGGUCAUAGUGAUCCGGUGGUUCUGAAUGGAAGGGCCAUCGCUCAACGGAUAAAAGGUACUCCGGGGAUAACAGGCUGAUACCGCCCAAGAGUUCAUAUCGACGGCGGUGUUUGGCACCUCGAUGUCGGCUCAUCACAUCCUGGGGCUGAAGUAGGUCCCAAGGGUAUGGCUGUUCGCCAUUUAAAGUGGUACGCGAGCUGGGUUUAGAACGUCGUGAGACAGUUCGGUCCCUAUCUGCCGUGGGCGCUGGAGAACUGAGGGGGGCUGCUCCUAGUACGAGAGGACCGGAGUGGACGCAUCACUGGUGUUCGGGUUGUCAUGCCAAUGGCACUGCCCGGUAGCUAAAUGCGGAAGAGAUAAGUGCUGAAAGCAUCUAAGCACGAAACUUGCCCCGAGAUGAGUUCUCCCUGAGACUUAGAGUCUCCUGAAGGAACGUUGAAGACGACGACGUUGAUAGGCCGGGUGUGUAAGCGCAGCGAUGCGUUGAGCUAACCGGUACUAAUGAACCGUGAGGCUUAACCUUACAACGCCGAAG
rnacentral:rRNA from 1 species